rnacentral:tRNA from 1 species
AUAAAUACCUUGGGCAAAUUGGUUUGAUUUGUAAUCAGAGGGUCCGCGGUUUGAGCCCGGGUGGGGGCACCA